UACGGAGGGGACUAGCGUUGUUCAGAAUUACUGGGCGUAAAGCGCACGUAGGCGGAUCGGAAAGUUGGGGGUGAAAUCCCGGGGCUCAACCCCGGAACUGCCUUCAAAACUAUCGGACUGGAGUUCGAGAGAGGUGAGUGGAAUUCCGAGUGUAGAGGUGAAAUUCGUAGAUAUUCGGAGGAACACCAGUGGCGAAGGCGGCUCACUGGCUCGAUACUGACGCUGAGGUGCGAAAGCGUGGGGAGCAAACAGG
rnacentral:rRNA from 1 species